GCUGCAGCCGGCGCCGCGGCCGCCACUCCCGGGAGCAUGAAGGACCGAACCCAGGAGCUCCGCACGGCCAAGGACAGCGACGAUGACGACGAUGUCACUGUCCCCAUGGACCGAGACCACUUCAUGGAUGAGUUCUUCGAACAGGUGGAGGAGAUCCGCGGCUUCAUUGACAAGAUCUCAGAGAACGUGGAGGAGGUGAAGCGGAAGCAUAGCGCCAUCCUGGCCUCCCCCAACCCCGAUGAGAAGACGAAGGAGGAGCUGGAGGAGCUAAUGGCCGACAUAAAGAAGACAGCCAACAAAGUCCGUUCCAAGUUAAAGAGCAUGGAGCAGAGCAUCGAGCAGGAGGAGGGCCUGAACCGCUCCUCAGCAGACCUGAGGAUCAGGAAGACUCAGCACUCCACGCUGUCCCGGAAGUUUGUGGAGGUCAUGUCUGAGUACAACGCGACGCAAUCUGACUACCGCGAGCGCUGCAAGGGCCGCAUCCAAAGGCAGCUGGAGAUCACGGGCAGGACCACGACCAGCGAGGAACUGGAGGACAUGCUGGAGAGCGGGAACCCGGCCAUAUUUGCCUCGGGGAUCAUCAUGGACUCCAGCAUCUCGAAGCAGGCGCUGAGCGAGAUUGAGACACGGCACAGCGAGAUCAUCAAGCUGGAGAACAGUAUCCGCGAGCUGCAUGACAUGUUCAUGGACAUGGCCAUGCUCGUGGAGAGCCAGGGCCUCCCGAAGGCCUGCCCUGAGCCCCCUCCAGAGCCUGAGGAGGGGGCCCUCUGGAGCUCAAUGCUCCGCGGCCCUGCAGGGGGAGAUGAUUGACAGGAUUGAGUACAACGUGGAGCACGCCGUGGACUACGUGGAGAGGGCUGUAUCCGACACCAAGAAGGCUGUCAAGUACCAGAGCAAGGCCCGCAGGAAGAAGAUCAUGAUCAUCAUCUGCUGCGUGGUUCUGGGCAUCGUCGUCGCCUCUACCUUCGGAGGCAUCUUUGGAUAGAAACUGCCCCACCUGCCGCUCCGCUCUGGACGGUCCACCCCAGGGGGCUCCCGGGCUGCUGCUGCUGCCUGGCUGGGUGGCCCUCUGCACCCCGCUCUGGCUCAGAGAGCCUCCCGCGCUCCCCCCAUGUCCCCACACUGCUCCCUCGUGGCCUCAGGGCCUCCACCCCAGCCCUGCCCUGAGCCGGGCUAGCUGCAUGAUCUUUGUCCCAGUGUGUGUCUGUACAGAGGCAGAGGGGAGCCAGGCUGAGAAAGAGCCGGUGGGGUAGGGACGGGUCACCAAGGGACAGACCCAGCCCGGGCCGCCUCAGCCUUACCGGGCAGGGCUGCCCAGGGGAGCACAUGUGACCCUUCCCUGGCCUUCAGUCACUCCACCUGGGCCUGGGAGCCACCCUCUACUGGAAUCGAGGCACUCUCCCAACCCCAAUCUUACCUCCAACUGACCUGUCCCCGUUUUCUGGCCUCCAGCUGUGCCCCCAAGUGACCCCUUGAGGGGUGGGGACCAGCUGGCCACAUGGUGCUGCUUUUCAGGUUAGGGGAGGGGUGGCCCUGAGGGACAGCUGUCACUGCCAGAGAGGCUCAGGGUGCCAUGGCUUCUGGCUGUGUCGGGGCUCCUCCCCUACCCAGGGGCACAGCCCAACAGGUCUUUGGCCACCUUGGCCAAAGCCCUGGCCUCAGCCUCCUUUCCCACAUUCCAGCAGCCCAGGAGCAACCCCUUUGGGCUAGGUCCGACCCUGGGUGACCCUCUGGAAGAGGCCAGCCGGUGUGUGUCCGGCCACCCUCUGGAGUCGGGGAAGCAGAGGAGGCCCCAGUCAGGCCUCUGCCCUGCCACUCUCCCUGGCAGGCCUCAGUUGAGCCCUCAAGCCAUUGUGUGUUGCAUGUUUGGGACAGUGGUCCUUGCUCUCUUGUGCUCUGGGAGGUCAGAUGUCACUUCAGGCCUGCAGUCACGUCCUGCCCUCGCUGUCCCAUUGAUGUGCCAUGUGCGUGUCAGGUGUCUUGGACACAGUAUUCACAGCCAGCCAGGGCAGUUGCCACCCUCCUUACCAUCCUAGGGCUGCUUUCUCAAGCCAGAAGCAGUCCCCACCCCAGGACCCCUCUCCCUCCGGGACAGGCAGGGUGUGCAUGCGAGUGCAUGCAGCAGGGGACGGGGCCCUGUCUGCCACUGUCCUUCAGCUCUGCUCCUGCCCAGUGACCGUGACCACUGGCCAUGUUGCCUUCAACAGCGACCUUCCUCUCUUCCACCCCUUCACCAAAGGUCUUGGUACAACCAGCUGCCCAUUUUGUGAAAUUUUUAUGUAGAAUAAACAUUUGUAUCUGUA